UUCACAACCGGUGUAACUGAGCUCAGCCGAGCCUACGAUGCCAUGUCUCCCGACUGGCCCCCGCGCUCGCCGAAAGUCCCAUUGGGAAAAUAACACAGGGUACUUAUCCCCUGAGACUCCAGCCGGGGUCCUAUCAACCGGGGUUGGAUGAAUGCGGAACUUACACUUGCUUGGCUUUAUAUCCCAGUUUUUAUCCUAAACCCGCACUGGGGAGCGCAGGUGGAAAACUGGGGUAUAUUGCUCAUGUGCUCUCCCGGGGAAGCGGCGGAGUAUCCAUUACGCUUCCCUGAAGCUCCCAGGGACGCAUGAAAGUGCGGGCUGGAGCCUCACCACUGCAUAUGCUACGUUUCCCUAUAAUGUAUAUGACAUGACGAGGAGCUUUUGAAACUACCUACUUUUGAGAUCACUUUUAGGAAAUCGUUCAUCCUGGUAAAUUCCUUCUGCCCUGGUUCAGUGCAACAACUCACCCCACCUGCUAUGCUGUUUUUUAAUCCUUCACCUCUCGGGGGAAUUAACUUUUUGUAACCUGCUGCACCAACCCAUCUUGGACUCGACUUCAUUUUGCCUGGGCCGCUACAGACUGAGAGAGGAAGGCGCAGGGCUGCGACCACCCUCCGCGUGUGGUGUAAAGUUUUGUGGUGGAAAGGGUGUCACACAUAUUCACCAAGCAACAAGGAAACUUGAGAGAUAUGGGAUAUAUUAAAACCGGCAAGUGAAAGCUGAAGAAAGCACAGGUCAGAGCUGGGCCACAAACAAUUCAUAGAUGUCAGUCUCUGGCCAUUCACUCCAGAAUGCAGAACAGCAUUUCUCUGCUGUUGGCGUCAAAGCCAGGCCUUCACCAACGGUGAGUCACGCACCAAGCAAGAAUUAUGUUAUCAUUGUUUACGAUGUUACAAUAGUGCCUGGAGAGUCCAACCAAGAUCAAGGCCCCAUUCUCCCACCUACUGUCUUUACACACAAUAUGAGACAGUCCCUGCCCCAAGGAGCUUACAAGCCAGAGGGAGACUAGAUGCUCAACUGAACAUACAACCCACCCCUAUUGGGGACUAGCCACCGACACCCCAAAGAGCAAGGAGUGGGCAAGCAAGAGCUGAGGACCUCUGACUCCCCCACGCAAGCCAACCCCCAAUGGACAUCAGGAGAGGUGGGGAGAAGAGAUAGAGUGCCCACCCCUUUCUGGCAAGGGAAAAGAGCAUAAAGUGCCCCCCUCCCAUCAGCCAAGAGGACAGUAAAGCUGGGUGUAAUCUGCUUCUGUGGUUGACACAGCAGGAUCCUAGAACAUCCCCUCUACCAUAGACUAAGAGCCAAGGCAAUUGUAAUUGAGAGUCCCUUGUAUAAAACUCUAAGCCAAGAGUCUGAGGUAAUCACACAGUCUUGUUGAUCCACUUGUGACACCGGCAGAUCAGGUACCAGCUCAUACCAAGGGCCCUAGAUCUCACUGAACACUGACAAAUACAUAGCUGGAAACCUGUCUAACUCACCUGUGCACUAGUAUUGUUAAAAUAGGUAUUAGAUUUAUAGAUAUGUGUUUAAUGUUUGGACUUUAUGAAAUGCUUGUAAAUUGCUGCAUGCUUCAGUCUCAUUUAUAAUAUCUGUAUCCCAUGCUAUAUGGCAGAGGUGGCCAAACUUACUGACCUUCCGAGCCAAAUACAAUAAUCUUCAGAAGUUCGAGAGUUGCAAGACACUCAUAACCUGCCCUGCAGGGUGGCACCUGCUGGGGCUUGGGACUUCAUCCCCAUGUGGUGUGCCUGCUAGGGCAUGGGGCUCACCUGCUGAAGUCCGAAUCCCCAGCACCUCCCCACUACUGGGCUACAGCCUAGAGACCCCACCCUCCCUGCAGGCAGAAGCCCCUAACCCCACCACCCAGCUCCCUCCCACAGUCUAUUAGGUGGAGAAUGGGGGGGAAACAUGGGGUCUUCGCAAGCCUCACUUCAACUGUAAAAGAGUUUGGCCACACCUGCUAUAUGGCAAUAUUUAAGAGUUUGCUUUGUAACUAUAAAAGUGUUUGCUGUGAAACUGGAAACCCCCACAAUCAGGAGAGAAGUAUUACCAAGUGUGAAAUACUAGUUUACCACAAGACAUGCCGUUUUCUGUCCAACAGAAGAGGGCCUCUUUCUUUAAGGAUCCCCAAAAUCUCAUUCUUUAAUGCCCAAAGGAGUGAUGGACAGAAUAGUUAGGCCUAAUAUCUGACACACCAAUUUUGGUUCACUGAUUUCUGGUUCAACCCUUAGCUUGUUUACCAGGAAUAAUCUCAGCUGGUCUAGUGUCACCAGAUGAACCACUGUGGAACAUCAGUGGACAAAAGACUUUGUUCCACCAACACCCAUAAAGAAAGGGUUUGCACAAACCCUCAACCCCUCACAGUUUGAACUCUAGGGGAAGGGAAGAAAAAUCCCUGACCAGAAGGCUCUGUAUCACUAUGUUGCUAGGAUUUUGGAGAAGGCAAUAUUUCUAAGCAUAAGCAAAGGUUAGCUUUAAAGAACAUAUAGAGCUUGCACCUUACAGCAGUUUC